rnacentral:rRNA from 1 species
GUCUACAGCCAUGCCACCCUGAACAAGCCCGGUCCCAUCUGAUCUCAGAAGCUAAGCAGGAUGGGGCCUGGUUAGUACUUGGAUGGGAGACCACCUAAGAAGACCAGGUGCUGUAGGCA